GCUGGAUUCGCUAGUAAUCGCGCAUCAGCCACGGCGCGGUGAAUACGUUCCCGGGCCCUGUACACACCGCCCGUCAAGCCAUGGAAGCCGGGGGUGCCUGAAGUGCGCUGCCGCGAGGAGCGCCCUAGGGUAAAACCGGUGACUGGGGCUAAGUCGUAACAAGGUAAC
rnacentral:rRNA from 1 species